rnacentral:rRNA from 1 species
GGGUUGUGAGGUUAAGCGACUAAGCGUACACGGUGGAUGCCCUGGCAGUCAGAGGCGAUGAAGGACGUGCUAAUCUGCGAUAAGCGCCGGUAAGGUGAUAUGAACCGUUAUAACCGGCGAUUUCCGAAUGGGGAAACCCAGUGUGAUUCGUCACACUAUCAUUAACUGAAUCCAUAGGUUAAUGAGGCGAACCGGGGGAACUGAAACAUCUAAGUACCCCGAGGAAAAGAAAUCAACCGAGAUUCCCCCAGUAGCGGCGAGCGAACGGGGAGGAGCCCAGAGCCUGAAUCAGCAUGUGUGUUAGUGGAAGCGUCUGGAAAGGCGCGCGAUACAGGGUGACAGCCCCGUACACAAAAGCGCAUGUGCUGUGAGCUCGAUGAGUAGGGCGGGACACGUGGUAUCCUGUCUGAAUAUGGGGGGACCAUCCUCCAAGGCUAAAUACUCCUGACUGACCGAUAGUGAACCAGUACCGUGAGGGAAAGGCGAAAAGAACCCCGGCGAGGGGAGUGAAAAAGAACCUGAAACCGUGUACGUACAAGCAGUGGGAGCACCCUUC